AGUGAACGCUGGCGGUAGGCCUAACACAUGCAAGUCGAACGGCAGCACAGUAAGAGCUUGCUCUUACGGGUGGCGAGUGGCGGACGGGUGAGGAAUACAUCGGAAUCUACUUUUUCGUGGGGGAUAACGUAGGGAAACUUACGCUAUUACCGCAUACGACCUACGGGUGAAAGCAGGGGAUCUUCGGACCUUGCGCGAUUGAAUGAGCCGAUGUCGGAUUAGCUAGUUGGCGGGGUAAAGGCCCACCAAGGCGACGAUCCGUAGCUGGUCUGAGAGGAUGAUCAGCCACACGGGAACUGAGACACGGUCCAGACUCCUACGGGAGGCAGCAGUGGGGAAUAUUGGACAAUGGGCGCAAGCCUGAUCCAGCCAGACCGCGUGGGUGAAGAAGGCCUUCGGGUUGUAAAGCCCUUUUGUUGGGAAAGAAAAGCAGCAGGUUAAUACCCCGCUGUUCUGACGGUACCCAAAGAAUAAGCACCGGCUAACUUCGUG
rnacentral:rRNA from 1 species